rnacentral:rRNA from 1 species
UUGGAGGGCAAGUCUGGUGCCCGCAGCCGCGGUAAUUCCAGCUCCAAUAGCGUAUAUUAAAGUUGUUGCAGUUAAAAAGCUCGUAGUUGAACUUCGGGGUUUACCCAUUGGUCAGGCUUAAUUGUCUGUACUGGUGAGAUGAAUCUCUACCUUCUGAGGAACUUUCAUGCCAUUUAGUUGGUGUGAUGGGAAAUCAGGACUGUUACUUUGAAAAAAUUAGAGUGUUUAAAGCAGGCUAACGUCUGAAUACAUUAGCAUGGAAUAAUAAAAUAGGACGGUGGUCCUGUUUUGUUGGUUUCUGAAUCACCGUAAUGAUUAAUAGGGAUAGUUGGGGGCAUUAGUAUUCAAUUGUCAGAGGUGAAAUUCUUGGAUUUAUUGAAGACUAACUUCUGCGAAAGCAUUUGCCAAGGAUGUUUUCAUUAAUCAAGAACGAAAGUUAGGGGAUCGAAGACGAUCAGAUACCGUCGUAGUCUUAACCAUAAACUAUGCCGACUAGGGAUCGGACGAUGUUAAAUUUUAUUGACUCGUUCGGCGCCUUACGGGAAAC